ACGCCGUCGCCCCGAGCCCGAGGUUGCAUACCCCGCUGCGGCCGCUGCACCGGGGUCGCCGUCCGAAGGCCGCGCGCUGAGCGGUUGAACUGUUUCGCCUCCGAGGCCUGGGGUCCGGCAUCUGUCCGUCCGGUCCCGGCCCGGCGCUGCCCGCCGCGUCCCCGCCGCCGCCAUGGACCUGCAUUUGCACCGAGCGGAUUACGUACAGGUGGGAGUCACAUCUCAGAAGACCAUGAAGCUGCUUCCGGCCACCAGAGGCAGCGCCACACAAAAGGUGGUUAUUGGAGAUCAUGAAGGGGUAGUUUUGUGCUUUGGCAUGAAGAAAGGAGAAGCAGUGGCAGUGUUCAAGACUUUACCGGGGCAGAAGAUCGCAAGACUGGAGCUAGGAGGCAUUCUCAACACACCCCAGGAGAAAAUUUUUGUUGCUGCAGGAUCUGAGAUUCGAGGUUUCACAAAAAGAGGAAAACAGUUCCUCUCUUUUGAAACAAACCUCACUGAAAGCAUUAAAGCUAUGCACAUAUCUGGCUCAGACCUCUUGCUCAGUGCGAGUUACAUCUACAGCCAUUAUUGUGACUGCAAAGACCAGCAUUAUUACCUUUCCGGGGACAAAAUCAAUGACGUCAUCUGCCUUCCGGUGGAGCGACUGCCUCACCUGACACCGGUGCUGGCCUGCCAGGACCGGCUUCUGCGCGUGUUACAGGGAUCAGACGUGGUAUUUGAAAUUGAAGUUUCUGGCCCACCUACUGUCUUAGCUCUACACAAUGGAAACGGCGGUGACUCUGGAGAAGACGUUUUGUUUGGAACGUCAGAUGGAAAACUUGGGCUCGUUCAGAUCACUGCACCCACGCCAACACACAAGUGGGAAAUCCAAAAUGAGAAAAAGAGGGGAGGUAUUUUGUGUGUUGACAGCUUUGACAUUAUGGGUGAUGGAGUUAAAGAUUUACUUGUUGGGAGAGAUGACGGAAUGGUGGAGGUGUACAGUUUUAAUAAUGCAAAUGAACCUGUUCUGCGCUUUGAUCAGGCGCUGUCUGAAAGCGUCACAUCUAUCCAGGGAGGUUGUGUGGGGAAAGAUGGCUAUGACGAAAUCGUAGUAUCCACAUAUUCAGGCUGGGUGACAGGGCUGACCACGGAGCCAGUGCACAAGGAGGGCGGGCCCGGCGAGGAGCUCCGGCUCAACCAGGAGACGCAGCACAAACUCGCCUGCCUGCGGAGUGAGUUGGAGCAGCUGCAACUUAAGGUAGCACAGGAAAGAGAGAGGUAUCAACAGUCUUCGCAGUCAAGCCAAGCAAAAUCAGCGGUCCCUUCCUUUAGCAUAAAUGACAAGUUUACAUUAAAUAAAGACGAUGCCAGCUACAGCCUUAUCUUGGAAGUGCAGACUGCGAUAGACAAUGUCUUAGUGCAGAGUGAUGUCCCCAUAGACCUACUUGAUGUGGACAAGAAUUCCGCUGUUGUCAGCUUCAGCAGCUGUGACGCCGAGUCCAGUGACAACUUCCUUCUCGCCACUUACCGGUGCCAGGCAAACACCACGAGGCUGGAGCUCAAGAUCCGCUCCAUUGAAGGCCAGUACGGCACGCUCCAAGCAUACGUGACUCCAAGAAUCCAACCCAAAACCUGCCAGGUCCGCCAGUACCUUAUCAAACCCCUUUCACUCCAUCAGAGAAGCCACGGUAUCGAUCGCGACAGACCCAUGAACACACUGACUUUAACGGGCCAGUUCAGUUUUGCGGAAGUUCACUCCUGGGUGGUGUUUUGCCUUCCUGAGGUUCCUGAGAAACCUCCGGCCGGAGAAUGUGUGACAUUCUACUUCCAGAACACCUUUCUGGACACCCAGCUGGAAAGCACCUACAGAAAAGGAGAAGGAGUUUUUAAAUCUGACAACAUUUCAACUAUUUCCAUCCUAAAAGAUGUGCUCUCUAAAGAAGCUACAAAAAAGAAAAUUAACCUCAACAUUUCAUACGAGAUCAAUGAGAUGUCAGUAAAGCACACUCUCGAGCUCAUCCACCCAAAGCUGGAGUACCAGUUGCUUUUGGCUAAGAAAGUGCAGCUAAUUGAUGCUUUAAAAGAAUUGCAGGUUCAUGAAGGAAAUACAGACUUCCUGAUACCAGAAUAUCGCUGCAUUCUAGAGGAGGCAGAGCGCCUGCAGGAGGAGUACAAGAAGCAGCCGGCACACCUGGAGAGGCUCUAUGGGAUGAUCACCGAUCUUUUUAUAGAUAAGUUCAAGUUCAAAGGCACCAAUGUAAAAACCAAAGUACCUCUUUUACUGGAGAUUCUGGACAGUUAUGACCAAAACACACUGAUUGCUUUCUUUGAUGCUGCAUGAAAGUAAGGCCGGUGCACAAAAUUUGUGCAUAGGUGGGGACCCUGGGGGUGGCCUGUGGAGAUUGGGUCCUAGCUUGCACCCCCAGCCUCGCAGCCCCGCAGCUCUAUCUGGCACCCCGCCUUGGCCUGGUGCCGCCUGCUCGCCUGCUCCACCAUCCCGUUGCAGUCCAGCUGUCGUCGGGCCGUCGACACUGCCAACACUGUGUCACCAAUGGCCGCCAUGCACCGUGCCGCUCCCUGGUGGUCAGUGUACGUCAUAGCGAGCGGUUGAACUUCCGAUCAUUGACUGCCGGAGAGACAAUAAGCAUAUUAGGUUUUUAUUAUAUAGAAUACUUUUAAAUAUUAUCUAAAAAUAUUUGAGAUACAUGAUUUUUUUUAGUAAUGCUUCAUUUCUUUUGAUGAAUGCAACCUUUUAAAAAUAAAUAGCAUUUUUAUUCUUAACACCUUUCUAGAAUGAUUAUAAGGGAUUUUAAUGAAUUCUUUUGCAAGUGGUGUUUUAAAUUUUAUACUGAAAAAUAAUAUUUGAAAAAUAAAAAUAUAUAGUGUGUGGACUAAAGUAGGUUUACAGUUUGCAUGGAAAAUUGUAAUAAUAACAACACAAGACCCCUGCCGCUGUGGCUUAGUGGUUGAGUGUCAACCUAUGAACCAGAAAGCCACGGUUUAAUUCUGGCUCAGGGCACAUGCCCAGGUUUCAGGCUCAAUCCCCAGUAGGGGACGUGCAGAAGGCAGCUAAUCAAUUCUCUCAUUGAUAUUUCUAUCUCUCCUCCCUUCAUCUCUGAAAUCAAUAAAAAUAUAUUAAAAAUGUAACACAAGAAUAAACUUGCAUACUCACAACUGUAAGCCUACUUUUGCCCCACUCUGUAUUUAAAUAUCUAAGCUCCUCCCAGUGUAUGUAUAAACUGCUUUACAUUUUUCAGAAUGUAUUUAUAUUCGUUAACUCAUUUGACUUUCACAACGUUAUUUUCUCAAAUCAUAUAAGAAAGCUCCUUUUCACUGACGUUAAGUGGUGAAGAGGGCUUGCUGUUAUUUUGUAAAUCGGGAACUAGAACCUGCAUUUUGGUGCCUGGUUUGUGUCCUAGUUAAUUAUGUAUGUCGCCAGCCAGUGGAUAUAACCUACCAAUUAUUUUUUCUAGGAGUUGAGAUUGAUUUGCACCUGAUUUCACUCUUGCUUGAUAAUGAGCAUUGUGACCAGGUUCAGUUUGUAUACAGUGUGGACAGAGAUGAGCAGUGGUUUAAGGUGACGCUCUGUAACCAGUGGUUACCGAGUAUCCGAGUUACUAGUCAGGAACAGGGGUGGCUUCCUAGCGUUUCUGCAUGAGCAUCCACCAUUUCCUUCAUAUCAUGUGUGAAGGGGAAUAAGACUUAAAGGCUGUGGGGAUUUUGUUUAUUAAACCUAACUGAGAUUGAUUCAUAUCCGAGGGGAAUGUUGUAUUUAAAGGUUGCUUUAAGAUGGCAUAAAGAUUAUAAUGGAAAAUAAGCUAUUUAUGUUUUUAAGAAGGGCACACCCAUGAAUUUGUCAGAAAACAAUGAUGCUUCUUAAUUAUAUGCCAUUAUAUCUGUUAUGUGUGAGCCUUAUUGUAUAUUAAAUGUGGAAAUUCGUUAAAGGCACCUAUCGCUAAGAGUU